rnacentral:rRNA from 1 species
UACGAAGGGGGGCUAGCGUUGUUCGGAAUCACUGGGCGUAAAGCGCACGUAGGCGGAUCUUUAAGUCAGGGGUGAAAUCCCGAGGCUCAACCUCGGAACUGCCUUUGAUACUGGGGGAUCUCGAGUCCGGGAGAGGUGAGUGGAACUGCGAGUGUAGAGGUGAAAUUCGUAGAUAUUCGGAAGAACACCAGUGGCGAAGGCGACUCACUGGCCCGUUACUGACGCUGAGGCGCGAAAGCGUGGGGAGCAAACAGG